UGGGAAGCCUCAGCCAGAUGUAACCAGA
rnacentral:piRNA from 1 species